GGGAAGUGGGAGGCGGAGUCACGGGGCUCGGGCGCGGCGGGUCUGAGCUCACGUGGCCGCUUGUCACGCUGCGAGCCCACCUGCCAUCUUCCCCGCCCCCGGACGAGGUCUGGCACUUGCUCCCUGGCAGGAAAAUGUCUUUGUGCGGAGACCUAAAUUCUCCGGUGCUCACAAGCUCGGUGACCCUUGACCAACUGAUUUCCCUUCUGAACCUCAGUUUUCUUAUACUGAAGUGGGUUCCUAAUCCUCGUCCGACCCGCCUUGGGGGGUUUUGUGGCUUACAUGGGGUGUACACUGUUGAGGGACCUCGGGAAAAGGGUUGGAGAUGUAUGAGACUGAACCCUGGAAGUGGCUAGGGCAGCCUGGCGUCACCUCCCGUCUUGUUCAUACGUCCCUUGCCCCCAGUGGCCCUACUGCGAGAAGCGCUGCAGUUACUGCAACUUCAACAAGUACAUCCCACGCGGCGUGGACGAGGCUGCUGUUCGGCGCUGUCUGGUGACCGAGGCUCAGACGCUGCUGCGGCUCAGCGGGGUGCGGCGGGUGGAGUCUGUAUUCUUCGGUGGGGGUACCCCCAGUCUGGCCAGCCCCCAUACUGUGGCAGCUGUCCUAGAGGCAGUGGCCCAGGCAACUCACCUGCCUGCAGACUCUGAAGUCACAUUGGAAGCCAACCCCACUUCGGCCCCAGGCUCCAGACUGGCAGCAUUCAGGGCGGCAGGAGUCAACAGGUUGUCCAUUGGCCUCCAGUCCCUAGAUGACACUGAGCUCCAGCUGCUGGGGCGGACACAUUCGGCCAGCGAUGCUCUGCAGACGCUGGCAGAGGCCCGGCGCCUCUUCCCCGGGUGUGUGUCUGUGGACCUGAUGCUGGGGCUGCCGGCACAGCAAGUGGGGCCGUGGCUCGGGCAGCUGCGGGAGCUGCUGCGCCGCUGUGAUGACCACGUCUCCCUCUACCAGCUGUCCCUGGAGCGGGGCACUGCACUCUUCACCCAAGUGCAGCAGGGCACCCUUCCUGCCCCUGACCCUGAGCUGGCUGCUGAGAUGUACCAGGAGGGACGGGCAGUCCUUCGGGAGGCUGGCUUCCGCCAGUAUGAGGUCUCCAACUUCGCCCGGAAUGGGGCGCUUAGUACCCACAAUUGGACUUAUUGGCAGUGUGGUCAGUACCUUGGCGUUGGGCCUGGUGCCCAUGGGCGAUUUGUGCCCCAGGGGGCUGGGAGUCACACCCGGGAGGCUCGGAUCCAGACCCUGGAGCCGGACAACUGGAUGAAGGAGGUGAUGCUGUUUGGGCACGGCACCCGGAAGCGCGUCCCCCUGGGCGAGCUGGAGCUUCUGGAGGAAGUUUUGGCCAUGGGGCUGCGCACUGACGUGGGGAUCACUCACCAGCACUGGCAGCAGUUUGAGCCGCCGGUGACCCUGUGGGAUGUGUUUGGAGCCAGCAGGGAGGUGAAGAUGCUACUGGAGCAGGGCCUGUUGCUGCUGGAUCACAGGGGGCUUCGGUGUUCGUGGGAGGGUCUGGCUGUGCUGGACUCUCUGUUGCUGGAUCUGCUGUCUCAGCUCCAAGACACCUGGCGGCAGAGAACCCCCUCCCCUGUGCCAGGAGGAUAACCGCCUGCCCUGUAUCCCAGGACACUGCUAGGUGAUGGUAUUUGGACGUGGAGCUUUGGGAGGUGCUUAGGUUAUGAGGAUGAAGCCCUCGUGAAUGGGAUUAGCGCACUUGUGAAAGAGACCUCAGAGAACUCCCUGGCCCCUUCCACCCUGUGAAGACACAGAGGGGAGUCAGAUGGCUGUGAACCAGAAAUUGAGCCCUCACCAGGCACUGAAUCUCCUGGCACCUUGAUCCUGGACUCGAGAAAUAAUAAAUAUUUAUUGUUUAAGCCACCUGAUCUAUGUUUACAGCAUCCAUCCCUAAGGUCUCCACAUGGUCUAAUGUGGUCCCUGGAGCUCCAGCCAUCAUGUCUGCAUUCCAGGUAAUCAUGUUGCUACUUCCUCACCACCCCCCAUAAGAGAAGGGUCUGGUUAAUAAAAAAAAAGAGAGAAAAAAAGAAUAGACAUUAAGAGGCAAUCAGACAGCUCCUUCCCAAUCCUUUUCUAUUAAUUCACAUAUGUAUGUACAUAUAUAAAAUAUAAUUAAAA